GAUUGAACGCUGGCGGCAGGCCUAACACAUGCAAGUCGAACGGUAACAGGAAGAAGCUUGCUUCUUUGCUGACGAGUGGCGGACGGGUGAGUAAUGUCUGGGAAACUGCCUGAUGGAGGGGGAUAACUACUGGAAACGGUAGCUAAUACCGCAUAACGUCGCAAGACCAAAGAGGGGGCCUUCGGGCCUCUUGCCAUCGGAUGUGCCCAGAUGGGAUUAGCUAGUAAGUGGGGUAACGGCUCACCUAGGCGACGAUCCCUAGCUGGUCUGAGAGGAUGACCAGCCACACUGGAACUGAGACACGGUCCAGACUCCUACGGGAGGCAGCAGUGGGGAAUAUUGCACAAUGGGCGCAAGCCUGAUGCAGCCAUGCCGCGUGUAUGAAGAAGGCCUUCGGGUUGUAAAGUACUUUCAGCGGGGAGGAAGGGAGUAAAGUUAAUACCUUUACUCAUUGACGUUACCCGCAGAAGAAGCACCGGCUAACUUCGUGCCAGCAGCCGCGGUAAUACGGAGGGUGCAAGCGUUAAUCGGAAUUACUGGGCGUAA
rnacentral:rRNA from 1 species